CACGUAGGGCGCAAGCGUUGUCCGGAAUUAUUGGGCGUAAAGAGCUCGUAGGCGGUCUGUUACGUCUGCUGUGAAAACCCUGGGCUUAACCCUGGGCUUGCAGUGGAUACGGGCAGACUAGAGGCAGGUAGGGGAGAAUGGAAUUCCGGUGUAGCGGUGAAAUGCGCAGAUAUCGGGAGGAACACCGGUGGCGAAGGCGGUUCUCUGGGCCUGACC
rnacentral:rRNA from 1 species